UACGUAGGGGCAAGCGUUGUCCGGAUUUAUUGGGCGUAAAGAGCGUGUAGGCGGCCAAACAGGUCAGCUGUGAAAACUCGAGGCUCAACCUCGAGACGUCGGUUGAAACCGUUUGGCUAGAGUCCGGAAGAGGAGAGUGGAAUUCCCGGUGUAGCGGUGAAAUGCGCAGAUAUCGGGAAGAACACUCGUGGCGAAGGCGGCUCUCUGGGACGGUACUGACGCUGAGACGCGAAAGCGUGGGGAGCGAACAGG
rnacentral:rRNA from 1 species